GAUGAACGCUGGCGGCGUGCUUAACACAUGCAAGUCGAACGGAAAGGCUCCUGCUUGCAGGGGUACUCGAGUGGCGAACGGGUGAGUAACACGUGGGUGAUCUGCCCUGCACUUCGGGAUAAGCCUGGGAAACUGGGUCUAAUACCGGAUAGGACGAUGGUUUGGAUGCCAUUGUGGAAAGUUUUUCGGUGUGGGAUGAGCUCGCGGCCUAUCAGCUUGUUGGUGGGGUAAUGGCCUACCAAGGCGUCGACGGGUAGCCGGCCUGGGAGGGUGUACGGCCACAUUGGGACUGAGAUACGGCCCAGACUCCUACGGGAGGCAGCAGGGGGGAAUAUUGCACAAUGGGCGCAAGCCUGAUGCAGCGACGCCGCGUGGGGGAUGACGGCCUUCGGGUUGUAAACUCCUUUCGCUAGGGACGAAGCGCAAGUGACGGUACCUGGAGAAGAAGCACCGGCUAACUACGUG
rnacentral:rRNA from 1 species